GAUGAACGCUGGCGGCGUGCCUAAUACAUGCAAGUCGAGCGAACAGACGAGGAGCUUGCUCCUCUGACGUUAGCGGCGGACGGGUGAGUAACACGUGGAUAACCUACCUAUAAGACUGGGAUCACUUCGGGAAACCGGAGCUAAUACCGGAUAAUAUAUUGAACCGCAUGGUUCAAUAGUGAAAGACGGUUUUGCUGUCACUUAUAGAUGGAUCUGCGCCGCAUUAGCUAGUUGGUACGGUAACGGCUUACCAAGGCGACGAUGCGUAGCCGACCUGUGAGGGUGAUCGGCCACACUGGAACUGAGACACGGUCCAGACUCCUACGGGAGGCAGCAGUAGGGAAUCUUCCGCAAUGGGCGAAAGCCUGACGGAGCAACGGCGCGUGAGUGAUGAAGGUCUUCGGAUCGUAAAACUCUGUUAUUAGGGAAGAACAGAUGUGUAAGUAACUAUGCACGUCUUGACGGUACCUAAUCAGAAAGCCACGGCUAACUACGUG
rnacentral:rRNA from 1 species